rnacentral:tRNA from 1 species
CCAUGGUGUAGCGGUUAUCACUCCAGACUUUGAAUCUUGCAACCUGGGUUCCAAUCCCGGUGG